AAGCGGAGGAAAAGAAACCAACAGGGAUUGCCUUAGUAGCGGCGAGUGAAGCGGCAAUAGCUCAAAUUUGAAAUCUGGCACCUUCGGUGUCCGAGUUGUAAUUUGAAGAAGGUAUCUUUGGUUUUGGCUCUUGUCUAUGUUCCUUGGAACAGGACGUCACAGAGGGUGAGAAUCCCGUGCGAUGAGAUGCCCAAUUCCAUGUAAAGUUCCUUCGACGAGUCGAGUUGUUUGGGAAUGCAGCUCUAAGUGGGUGGUAAAUUCCAUCUAAAGCUAAAUAUUGGCGAGAGACCGAUAGCGAACAAGUACUGUGAAGGAAAGAUGAAAAGAACUUUGAAAAGAGAGUGAAAAAGUACGUGAAAUUGUUGAAAGGGAAGGGCUUGAGGUCAGACUUGGUUUUACCAGGCCAGCAUCAGUUUGGAUGGCAGGAUAAUAGCUUAGGAAUGUGGCACUGCUUCGGUAGUGUGUUAUAGCCUGGGUUGAUACUGCCUGUCUAGACUGAGGACUGCGUCUUUGACUAGGAUGCUGGCAUAAUGACCUUAAGCCGCCCGUCUUGAAACACGGACC
rnacentral:rRNA from 1 species